ensembl:lncRNA
CCAGUUAGAAAGCACUUCCUCAUCCAUCCAGCCCUGCAUUUUUUCCAGGAAUGGUAUGCUCCGGCACGAACGUAUUGAGCGUGCUGAUGCGAUAUGUCUGCCCCGGACGCACUGGCUUCACGCAUAUUUUUUUUUCUGAACACUACGAAACCCGAUAAUUUGAUUUGAUGAAGAUGCCGGGUACACCUCUAACGCGAAGCUAUACAUACAGUAUUAUAUAGACUAUUCUAUUUACAUUUCAUAUUCUACAGUUGCUGGUGUGGCUACGUUGGAUUAACUGGACUGGAAUCAAUCGUCCGUCUCGCGGCAGAGUUCUAUAUAUAGUGCACGAAUAGUGUAACCUACUAAACGGCACUCAUUCUGUCGUAUGCAUAGGGAGUGUGUAUCAAAAUGAAGGAUGCUGAAGGAUUCGGGGGAGUUGUUUUUGGACAAAAUGCGCGCUAAAUGGCCGAUGCCCAAAGGUGGCACUGCGCGGAUAUUUGCAUACGGUGCUUCGUAGGAUGCCGUGGCUUUGCGAUGCCACACCAACGGAGAAAGAAAAGACAGCGACCGGGAGGGAGAGAGAAGGAUGGACGGACGAAGAGACAAAGAGGGGGACCGGAAGAGAGAGAGUUCAGUUGUGACACGUUGUACUGACUAAAAGGACUAAAUAGCUUAUUGCAAUCUGCUAAUGGAGUAAUGGAGGCAGCAACAAACGCACGCAAACGCACACCGAGGUACAUUCUGUCCUCACACAUACAGAACAUCUAAGCAGGAGUAGGAGGAUGUGUAGUACACAGUGUUUGUGCGCGGGUGACUAUUUCUGAAUAUCCGUCAGAGUCGUCGUGACUGACGCCGAGCGAGCAUGUCUACCGAAGUUGUGUGCCAGAGAAUUACCGGAGAUACGGUGACACGCGCAUUCAGGCCUCCGCCUCCUCCAAGCUGUUGCCGUGCCACAGUUUGGCGGUGGUUUGUGUAGGUGACGUAACCACGGUGACCACCCACAACCCCCCCGCACAGGAAGUGGACC